rnacentral:rRNA from 1 species
AUUGAACGCUGGCGGCAGGCUUAACACAUGCAAGUCGAGCGGGGUGAUGGUGCUUGCACUAUCACUUAGCGGCGGACGGGUGAGUAAUGCUUAGGAAUCUACCUAUUAGUGGGGGACAACAUCUCGAAAGGGAUGCUAAUACCGCAUACGUCCUACGGGAGAAAGCAGGGGAUCACUUGUGACCUUGCGCUAAUAGAUGAGCCUAAGUCGGAUUAGCUAGUUGGUGGGGUAAAGGCCUACCAAGGCGACGAUCUGUAGCGGGUCUGAGAGGAUGAUCCGCCACACUGGGACUGGGACACGGCCCAGACUCCUACGGGAGGCAGCAGUGGGGAAUAGUGGACAAUGGGGGGAACCCUGAUCCAGCCAUGCCGCGUGUGUGAAGAAGGCCUUAUGGUUGUAAAGCACUUUAAGCGAGGAGGAGGCUCUUUUGGUUAAUACCCAAGAUGAGUGGACGUUACUCGCAGAAUAAGCACCGGCUAACUCUGUGCCAGCCGCCGCCGUAA